rnacentral:piRNA from 1 species
UCCAUACUUCGGAUAGUGGCUGCC